GAUGAACGCUGGCGGCGUGCCUAAUACAUGCAAGUCGAGCGAACAGACGAGGAGCUUGCUCCUCUGACGUUAGCGGCGGACGGGUGAGUAACACGUGGAUAACCUACCUAUAAGACUGGGAUAACUUCGGGAAACCGGAGCUAAUACCGGAUAAUAUAUUGAACCGCAUGGUUCAAUAGUGAAAGACGGUUUUGCUGUCACUUAUAGAUGGAUCCGCGCCGCAUUAGCUAGUUGGUAAGGUAACGGCUUACCAAGGCAACGAUGCGUAGCCGACCUGAGAGGGUGAUCGGCCACACUGGAACUGAGACACGGUCCAGACUCCUACGGGAGGCAGCAGUAGGGAAUCUUCCGCAAUGGGCGAAAGCUUGGCGGAGCAACGCCGCGUGAGUGAUGAAGGUGUUCGGAUCGUAAAACUCUGUUAUUAGGGAAGAACAAAUGUGUAAGUAACUAUGCACGUCUUGACGGUACCUAAUCAGAAAGCCACGGCUAACUACGUG
rnacentral:rRNA from 1 species